UACGUAGGGUGCAAGCGUUAAUCGGAAUUACUGGGCGUAAAGCGUGCGCAGGCGGCUUUGCAAGACAGAUGUGAAAUCCCCGGGCUUAACCUGGGAAUUGCGAUGGAGACUGCAAGGCUGGAGUCUGGCAGAGGGGGGUAGAAUUCCACGUGUAGCAGUGAAAUGCGUAGAGAUGUGGAGGAACACCGAUGGCGAAGGCAGCCCCCUGGGUCAAGACUGACGCUCAUGCACGAAAGCGUGGGGAGCAAACAGG
rnacentral:rRNA from 1 species